rnacentral:rRNA from 1 species
GACGUAGGAUGCAAGCGUUGUCCGGAUUUAUUGGGCGUAAAGAGUUCGUAGGCUGUUUGUUAAGUCUGAUGUUAAAGACUGGGGCUCAACCUCGGAAAUGCAUUGGAUACUGGCAGACUGGAGUGCAGUAGAGGCUAGUGGAAUUCCCAGUGUAGCGGUGAAAUGCGUAGAUAUUGGGAAGAACACCGGUGGCGUAGGCGACUAGCUGGGCUGUAACUGACGCUGAGGAACGAAAGCCAGGGGAGCGAGUGGG